GGGGCGGUAGCUCAAUUGGUAGAGCGCCACGUUCGCAACGUGGAGGUCGAGGGUUCGAUCCCCUUUCGCUCCACCA
rnacentral:tRNA from 1 species